AGAGUUUGAUCAUGGCUCAGGAUGAACGCUAGCGGCAGGCUUAACACAUGCAAGUCGAGGGACGGUAGCAAUACUGGACCGGCAAACGGGUGCGGAACACGUACGCAACCUACCCCAAACAGGUGAAUAGCCUUCUGAAAAGGAGAUUAAUACACCGUAAGAUAUAGCGAUGGCAUCAUUGUUAUAUAAUAGCUGAGGCGGUUUGGGAUGGGCGUGCGCCUGAUUAGGUAGUUGGUAGGGUAACGGCCUACCAAGCCAACGAUCAGUAACUGGUGUGAGAGCACGACCAGUCACACGGGCACUGAGACACGGGCUCGACUCCUACGGGAGGCAGCAGUGAGGAAUAUUGGUCAAUGGACGCAAGUCUGAACCAGCCAUGCCGCGUGAAGGAUGAAGGCGUUCUGCGUUGUAAACUUCUUUUAUCUGGGAAGAAACCUACCUUUUCUAAGGUAGCCGACGGUACCAGAGGAAUAAGCACCGGCUAACUCCGUGCCAGCAGCCGCGGUAAUACGGAGGGUGCAAGCGUUAUCCGGAUUCACUGGGUUUUAAAGGGUGUGUAGGCGGGUAUUUAAGUCAGUGGUGAAAUCUCCGAGCUCAACUCGGAAACUGCCAUUGAUACUAUUUAUCUUGAAUAUUGUUGAGGUAGGCGGAAUAUGUCAUGUAGCGGUGAAAUGCUUUAGAUAUGACAUAGAACACCGAUUGCGAAGGCAGCUUGCCUAAACAAUUAUUGACGCUGAGGCACGAAA
rnacentral:rRNA from 1 species